CCUACGGGAGGCAGCAGUGGGGAAUAUUGCACAAUGGGGGAAACCCUGAUGCAGCGACGCCGCGUGAGUGAAGAAGUAAUUCGUUAUGUAAAGCUCUAUCAGCAGGGAAGAAAAUGACGGUACCUGAGUAAGAAGCCCCGGCUAACUACGUGCGAGAAGCAGCGGUAAUACGUAGGGGGCAAGCGUUAUCCGGAUUUACUGGGUGGAAAGGGAGUGUAGACGGCAGUGCAAGUCUGGAGUGAAAGGCGGGGGCUCAACCCCCGGACUGCUCUGGAAACUGUACGGCUGGAGUGCAGGAGAGGUAAGUGGAAUUCCUAGUGUAGCGGUGAAAUGCGUAGAUAUUAGGAGGAACACCAGUGGCGAAGGCGGCUUACUGGACUGUAACUGACGUUGAGGCUCGAAAGCGUGGGGAGCAAACAGGAUUAGAUACCCGGGUAGUC
rnacentral:rRNA from 1 species